CAACUUUCAACAACGGAUCUCUUGGUUCUGGCAUCGAUGAAGAACGCAGCGAAAUGCGAUAAGUAGUGUGAAUUGCAGAAUUCAAUGAAUCAUCGAAUCUUUGAACGCACAUUGCGCCCCUUGGUAUUCCAUGGGGCAUGCCUGUUCGAGCGUCAUUU
rnacentral:rRNA from 1 species